AAAGGAAUUGACGGGGACCCGCACAAGCGGUGGAUGAUGUGGUUUAAUUCGAUGCAACGCGAAAACCCUUACCCACCUUUGACAUGUACGGAAGUUACCAGAGAUGGUUUCGUGCUCGAAAGAGAACCGUAACACAGGUGCUGCAUGGCUGUCGUCAGCUCGUGUCGUGAGAUGUUGGGUUAAGUCCCGCAACGAGCGCAACCCUUGUCAUUAGUUGCUACGAAAGGGCACUCUAAUGAGACUGCCGGUGACAAACCGGAGGAAGGUGGGGAUGACGUCAAGUCCUCAUGGCCCUUAUAGGUGGGGCUACACACGUCAUACAAUGGCUGGUACAGAGGGUUGCCAACCCGCGAGGGGGAGCUAAUCCCAUAAAACCAGUCGUAGUCCGGAUCGCAGUCUGCAACUCGACUGCGUGAAGUCGGAAUCGCUAGUAAUCGCGGAUCAGAAUGUCGCGGUGAAUACGUUCCCGGGUCUUGUACACACCGCCCGUCACA
rnacentral:rRNA from 1 species